rnacentral:rRNA from 1 species
AGAACCCCGGGAGGGGAGUGAAAGAGAACCUGAAACCCUGUGUUUACAAGCAGAGAGAGCGCAAGCAAGGCGCGAUCUCGUACUUUUUGUAGAACGGACCGGCGAGUUACGGUAGGUAGCGAGGUUAAGAACGUGAAGUUCGGAGCCGAAGCGAAAGCGAGUCUGAAGAGGGCGACGAGUUACCUGCUGUAGACCCGAAACCAGGCGACCUAUCCAUGGGCAGGUUGAAGUGGGAGUAAAAUCUCAUGGAGGACCGAACCAGACGUCUGUUGAAAAAGGCGGGGAUGAGCUGUGGAUAGGGGAGAAAUUCCAAUCGAACCCGGAGAUAGCUGGUUCUCCUCGAAAUAGCUUUAGGGCUAGCCUCAACUUAGAUUCGUGGAGGUAGAGCACUGAAUGGGCUAGGGGGCCACAAAGCUUACCGAACCCUAUCAAACUCCGAAUGCCGGACCCUUGAUAAACGGGAGUCAGUCCGUGGGAGAUAAGUUUCACGGGCAAAAGGGGAACACCCCAGACCGCCCGCUAAGGUCCCCAAGUGCAGGUUAAGUGGAGAAGGAUGUGCAAUUGCUCAGACAACCAGGAUGUUGGCUUAGAAGCAGCCACACAUUCAAAGAGUGCGUAAUAGCUCACUGGUCAAGUGAUUGUGCGCCGAAGAUGUCCGGGGCUAAAACCUGCCACCGAAGCGACGGAUUCGACGGUACUUACAAAGCGUUCGACAGGAAGCAAGCAGGAGAUGUAACCGAUUCCAACCUGUGGAGGUUGGAACAGAGGAAUCGGGUAGAUGCGAAGCUUAAACCUGCGGAUGAGGAAAAGUGGAAUGCUUUGUAAGUAUCGUCGAGUGGUAGAGGAGCAUUGCGUGUGGGCUGAAGCAGUAUCGGAAGACGCUGUGGACUACACGGAAGAGAGAAUGCCGGUAUGAGUAGCGAGAGCCAUGCGAGAAACAUGGCCGUCGAAAGCCCAAGGUUUCCUGGGGAAGGUUCAUCCACCCAGGGUAAGUCGGGACCUAAGCCGAGGACAGAAGUCGUAGGCGAUGGACAGCAGGUGGAAAUUCCUGCACCGCCGAGGAAUGAAGCAGUGACACAGAAGGAUAGCCUGAGCAGGGUGAUGGUCAACCCUGUGCAAGCGCCGAGGGUGGAGUGUAGUGAAGUACGCACUCCGGAAAGCCUGAGGUGUGAUGCGGACCGAAAACAAGUAGGGAAGCAGGCGAGUUCACGCUGGCGAGAAAAGCUGCUAGUGUAUCCGAAGGCGCCCGUACCGGAAACCGACACAGGUGGGCGAGGAGAGAAUCCUGAGACGAACGGGAGAACCCUUGUUAAGGAACUCGGCAAAAUGACCCCGUAACUUCGGGAGAAGGGGUGCCUGCGCGAGCAGGCCGCAGAGAAGAGGCCCAAGCGACUGUUUAUCAAAAACACAGGUAUCUGCGAAAGCGAGAGCUGACGUAUAGGUGCUGACACCUGCCCGGUGCUGGAAGGUUAAGGGGACCUGUCAUCGCAAGAGAAGCAGCGAACCGAAGCCCCAGUAAACGGCGGCCGUAACUAUAACGGUCCUAAGGUAGCGAAAUUCCUUGUCGGGUAAGUUCCGACCCGCACGAAUGGUGUAACGAUUUGGGCGCUGUCUCAACAAGGGACCCGGUGAAAUUGAAGUAUGGGUGAAGAUGCC